rnacentral:rRNA from 1 species
GCUUACGGCCAUACCACCCUCUCUGCGCCUGAUCUCGUCUGAUCUAGGAAGCUAAGCAGGGUCGGGCCUGGUUUGUACUUGGAUGGGAGACUGCCUUGGAAUACUAGGUGCUGUAAGCU